rnacentral:rRNA from 1 species
CAGCAGCAGCCACGGGAAUACGUAGGGUGCGAGCGUUAAUCGGAAUUACUGGGCGUAAAGCGUGCGCAGGCGGUUAUAUAAGACAGAUGUGAAAUCCCCGGGCUCAACCUGGGACCUGCAUUUGUGACUGUAUAGCUAGAGUACGGUAGAGGGGGAUGGAAUUCCGCGUGUAGCAGUGAAAUGCGUAGAUAUGCGGAGGAACACCGAUGGCGAAGGCAAUCCCCUGGACCUGUACUGACGCUCAUGCACGAAAGCGUGGGGAGCAAACAGGAUUAGAUACCCCUGUAGUCCCUGUCUCUUAUAC